rnacentral:misc_RNA from 1 species
CUUAAUGAUGUAAGUUUACUUUGAUGAAGAUAGUUCUUUAAAAUUUCUUAGUUUUCUAAGAAAAAUAUCGCUUUUAAAAUUGUACUUAUUUGGAAAAUAUUCGUAACUUUAAAUUUUUUUUUAUCGAUUAAUAGACAUAGAAAUGGAAUAAAAAUCUGUUCUAGUAUUCAACAAAAUUAUAUUCCACAUAUUACGAUAUAUUUUUUAAACGGUUUCAACGUAGAGGUUAUUGAAAAAUAGGACUUCAAAGUAUACAUUGCGGCCGUUUACCCAGGGAGGAGGCUGAUGAAAAGGUUUAUAUUUUUAUACACAUAAUAUAAAUCAAAAUUCUGAUCUGACUAUCUUACUACAACAAAAGUUGCUUUAUUAUAUUUCAAGAAUAUAAAUUACAUUAUUGCAUCCAACACUGAGAUUAACGACGUCAAAGUAUUACAAUUUCGCGGAUUGUUACCGAUUUUUGUGAA